AUGAAAGAAUUGAUAAAAUAUAAACUGUCUCAAUUUAAGUUUAUUUUAAUUUAAAUAAAAAGUUAAAAUGCUUUUAUAUAUUUAUUAGACGAUAAGACCCUAAGAAUUUAAAAAUUUUAAUUUUAUUGAAUGAAAUUUUAUAAUAUAAAAAUUAAUAUUUUAAUAUUUUUUUAUUGGGAGGGUAAUUAAUUUUAAAACUUUAAUUAAAUAAAAACAUUGAUAAUUGAAAUAUUUUGUGAU
rnacentral:rRNA from 1 species